rnacentral:rRNA from 1 species
GGCCCGAAUCCGGAGGGUUGAGAGCGCAGUUGGAUGAGCGUCUAUACAUGCAGUCAAGCGGACAGAUGGGAGCUUGCUCACUGAUGUUAGCGGAGGACGGGUGAAUAACACAGUGGGUUAACCUGCCUGUAAGACUGGGAUAACUCCGGGAAACCGGGGCUAAUACCGGAUGCUUGUUUGAACCGCAUGCUUCAAACAUAAAAGGCAAGGCUUCCGCUACCACUUACAGAUGGUGACCCGAGGCGCACUAGCUAGUGGGGGAGGUAACGGCUCACCAAGGCAACGAUGCGUAGCCGACCUGAGAGGGUGAUCGGCCACACUGGGACUGAGACACGGCCCAGACUCCUACGGGAGGCAGCAGUAGGGAAUCUUCCGCAAUGGACGAAAGUCUGACGGAGCAACGCCGCGUGAGUGAUGAAGGUUUUCGGAUCGUAAAGCUCUGUUGUUAGGGAAGAACAAGUACCGUUCGAAUAGGGCGGUACCUUGACGGUACCUAACCAGAAAGCCACGGCUAACUACGUGCCAGCAGCCGCGGUAAUACGUAGGUGGCAAGCGUUGUCCGGAAUUAUUGGGCGUAAAGGGCUCGCAGGCGGUUCCUUAAGUCUGAUGUGAAAGCCCCCGGCUCAACCGGGGAGGGUCAUUGGAAACUGGGGAACUUGAGUGCAGAAGAGGAGAGUGGAAUUCCACGUGUAGCGGUGAAAUGCGUAGAGAUGUGGAGGAACACCAGUGGCGAAGGCGACUCUCUGGUCUGUAACUGACGCUGAGGAGCGAAAGCGUGGGGGAGCGAACAGGAUUAGAUACCCUGGGUAGUCCACGCCGUAACGAUGAGUGCUAAGUGUUAGGGGGUUUCCGGCCCUUAGUGCUGCAGCUACGCAUUAAGCACUUCGGCUGGGGAGUACGGUCGCAGACUGAAACUCAAAGGAAAUUGACGGGGGCCCGCACAGCCGUGAGCAUGUGGUUAAUUCGAAGCAACGCGAGGAUCUUACCAGGUCUUGACAUCCUCUGACAAUCCUAAGGAUAGGACGUCCCCUUCGGGGCAAAUGACGGGGGUGGCAU